rnacentral:rRNA from 1 species
AUAAGUGAGCCGCCUGGGGAGUACGCCCGCAAGGGUGAAACUCAAAGGAAUUGACGGGGGCCCGCACAAGCGGUGGAGCGUGUGGUUUAAUUGGAAGCUAAGCCAAGAACCUUACCAGGGCUUGACAUGCUGGUGGUACCGAGCCGAAAGGUGAGGGACCCUGCCGAAAGGUAGGGAGCCAGCACAGGUGGUGCACGGUCGUCGUCAGCUCGUGCCGUGAGGUGUUGGGUUAAGUCCCGCAACGAGCGCAACCCCUGCCCUUAGUUGCCAGCGGUUAGGCCGGGCACUCUAAGGGGACUGCCGGCGGCGAGCCGGAGGAAGGAGGGGAUGACGUCAGAUACUCGUGCCCCUUAUGUCCUGGGCGACACACGCGCUACAAUGGGGUGGACAACGGGAAGCGAGGCAGCGAUGCUGAGCAAAUCCCUGAAACCACCCCCCAGUUCAGAUUGUGGGCUGAAACCCGCCCACAUGAAGCCGGAAUCGCUAGUAAUCGCGGAUCAGCCACGCCGCGGUGAAUACGUUCCCGGGCCUUGUACACACCGCCCGUCAAGCCACCCGAGUCGCGGGCACCCGAAGACGGUGACCCUUAGGGGCGCCGUUGAGGGUGAACGUGGUGAGGGGGGCU